rnacentral:rRNA from 1 species
UACGGGGGAGCAAGCGUUGUUCGGAUUUACUGGGCGUAAAGGGCGCGUAGGCGGCGCAACAAGUCACUUGUGAAAUCUCCGGGCUUAACCCGGAGCGGUCAAGUGAUACUGUCGUGCUAGAGUGCGGAAGGGGCUACUGGAAUUCUCGGUGUAGCGGUGAAAUGCGUAGAUAUCGAGAGGAACACCUGCGGCGAAGGCGGGUAGCUGGGCCGACACUGACGUGAUGCGGCGAAAGCCCAGGGGAGCGAACGGG